UCCCUGGUGGCCCAGUGGUUAAGGUUCCUGGCUCCCAAUGCAGAGAGCCUGGGUUCGAUCCCUGACCAGGGAA
rnacentral:tRNA from 1 species